rnacentral:lncRNA from 1 species
AUCAAGUUGCCUUUGAAAGCGUGUCUGUUCAGUCGCUCAGUUGUGGCUGACUCUUCUGCGACCCCACGGACUGUAGCAAAGCAGGCUCCUCUGUCCAUGGGAUUCUCCAGGCAAGAAUACUGGAGUGGGUUGCCAUUUCCUCACCCAGGAGAUCUUCCUGACCCAGGAAUCGAACCCACAUCUCCUGCGUCUCCUGCAUCGCAGGCGGAUUCUUCACCCACUUAGCCACCUGAGAAGCCCUGCCUUUGAAAUUGCGAGUAAAUAUGACAGAUGAUGCGAAGUGUGGUCAUGAAUCUCUGAGUAUUUACAAUCAAUACCUUAAACCUGGCACUUCUCUUGCAAUCUUCUGAAGGAGGUUCAAAAGACAAAGAAUCUCAAAAGUGACCUGCCUGCUUCAUCUUCAGCUCUUGAAAAUCGCUAUAUAUGGAGUCCAGAUGAAAAGUGAGAUAGGAAGCUCCAAAAAAGACACCCAGAAAAAAAAUCCUCCUUCCUGAUCAGAAGCUUCCAUUUAGUGACAAGAAGAAGCCCAUCUGCUGAUGUCAGCAAAGCAGCAUUGGCCUCUGUGCGCUUUCUGAUGUGAGUCCUCUGUAUGAAGCAUGCAGAAGUUGGUCUUCCCAGGGGGCAUGGUAGUAAAGAAUCUGCCUGCAAAUGCAAGAGAUUCAGUUUCUAUCCUUGGUUCAGGAAGAUCCCAAGAAGAAGGAAAUGGCAACCCACUCCAGUAUUCUUGACUGGGAAAUUCCAUAAACAGAGGAGCCUGGUGAGCUACAAGCCAUGGGGUUACAAGGAGUCGGACCGCACUGAGCCACUGAGCAUUCACAAACACACACAGGGGACUUAGACCCUACAGAAUAAAUACAUGAAUAAAUAUUUUUUAAAAAAUUGA